GUAGGCGGAUUGGCAAGUUGGGAGUGAAAUGUCGGGGCUUAACCCCGGAACUGCUUCCAAAACUGUUGAUCUUGAGUGAUGGAGAGGCAGGCGGAAUUCCCAGUGUAGCGGUGAAAUGCGUAGAUAUUGGGAGGAACACCAGUGGCGAAGGCGGCCUGCUGGACAUUAACUGACGCUGAGGAGCGAAAGCGUGGGGAGCAAACAGGAUUAGAUACCCUGGUAGUCCACGCCGUAAACGAUGGAUACUAGGUGUGGGAGGUAUUGACCCCUUCCGUGCCGCAGUUAACACAUUAAGUAUCCCACCUGGGGAGUACGACCGCAAGGUUGAAACUCAAAGGAAUUGACGGGGGCCCGCACAAGCAGUGGAGUAUGUGGUUUAAUUCGAAGCAACGCGAAGAACCUUACCUGGUCUUGACAUCCCGAUGACCGGUCUAGAGAUAGACUUUUCUCUUCGGAGACAUCGGUGACAGGUGGUGCAUGGUUGUCGUCAGCUCGUGUCGUGAGAUGUUGGGUUAAGUCCCGCAACGAGCGCAACCCUUAUUGUUAGUUGAUACAUUUAGUUGAUCACUCUAGCGAGACUGCCGUUGACAAAACGGAGGAAGGUGGGGACGACGUCAAAUCAUCAUGCCCCUUAUGACCAGGGCUACACACGUACUACAAUGGCAGUCAUACAGAGGGAAGCAAAGCUGUGAAGCAGAGCAAAUCCCUAAAAGCUGUCCCAGUUCAGAUUGCAGGCUGCAACUCGCCUGCAUGAAGUCGGAAUUGCUAGUA
rnacentral:rRNA from 1 species